rnacentral:rRNA from 1 species
UACGGAAGGCAGCAGUGGGGAAUAUUGGACAAUGGGCGCAAGCCUGAUCCAGCCAUGCCGCGUGUGUGAAGAAGGCCUUUUGGUUGUAAAGCACUUUAAGCGAGGAGGAGGCUCUCUUAGUUAAUACCUAAGAUGAGUGGACGUUACUCGCAGAAUAAGCACCGGCUAACUCUGUGCCAGCAGCCGCGGUAAUACAGAGGGUGCGAGCGUUAAUCGGAUUUUACUGGGCGUAAAGCGUGCGUAGGCGGCUUUUUUAAGUCGGAUGUGAAAUCCCCGAGCUUAACUUGGGAAUUGCAUUCGAUACUGGGAAGCUAGAGUAUGGGAGAGGAUGGUAGAAUUCCAGGUGUAGCGGUGAAAUGCGUAGAGAUCUGGAGGAAUACCGAUGGGCGAAGGCAGCCAUCUGGGCCUAAUACUGACGCUGAGGUACGAAAGCAUGGGGAGGCAAACAGGAUUAGAUACC